AGGUUUUCUCGAAAUCAGAAACGAUUCCAGGAACAAAAUCAGAGCCAAGAGGAAGCCCAGAAGAAUAACUGUGAGCCUUCUGCUCCAUCCUGUGAUUUACUUGACCUAAGUCCGUCUCCAAGCUCUAUGACUUCUGGCUUGCCAUUGGAAGGAGUCCACGCCAUGAGUUCUCAAUUUUCUGGCUUAAAUGUCAGCUCUCCACGUUCCUCUGAUGCUGACCACUCAAACCCUGUGUGUCACUCACAGAUGGAUUUACUGGCCUUGGAGAAUCCAGAAAUAU